CGAUCUGAUUGGUUGCUAUUGGCAACUGGGCAACAUUGCAUCUCUACAUGUUUUGAUAAAUCUCCCCCACAGGCUCUAAGAAGGAGAGGAGCAGAAAAAUGCGUUGUUAAGGAUUUGAAGAGAGGUUUGCCCAGCUUAGUCACCUCAUUUCUAAAUGUCGCAAUCGUCGCGGACAUGUUGGUCACCUGUAUGACGAACUAAGGAGGUAUCUGGAUUAAAAUGUAAAAGUAAAAAAAAAAUGUAUGCAUACCAAUGGAGGCCUUUGACCAGCUAUUUGAGAUUUUGGAGGAUCACCUUCAACGCCAAGAUACCAACAUGUAUCAAGCCAUUUCUCCAAUAGUAUGCCUGAUUAUCACAUUGUGGCUCUAUUACAUAUGUUUUGUCUUGUUGCUAUUGGAAUCAUUCUUGUUCUGGCUUUUUUUUUUUUUUUUUUUAAUUGUUCGGCUUUUGUUUAUUUCUGUUUUUUUUUAUGUCACACAUUUUAUGUAUGUUUGAACCCGACAGCGUGUGGCUCGCCAAUGCUGCCUAGCAAUGGCUCCUUCCCAUGCUAUUGUUCAAAAUAUAGUAAUAAUUUUACAAUGUUCGUACCUUGUGCAACUUUAUAUAUUUCAUGCACAAGGUACACAGCAUGCCCCAGGAUGGCUAGCAUCUAGCAUAUCUGAAUGAAACUAUGCCCUGGUGUUGUUUAUGGAGUAUCCCCAAAAACCUGUGUUUUAAUCAUUUAUUUAUUAUGGCAGUCAUAUGUCAUUUACCCAUAUACAGAUGCUCUGAAUGUUAAUGUUGUGUAGAAAAUCAACAUUUUUGUCUUUAUUCCUAUCAUGUUAUAUUUAUAUUUGUCUGAAAUGUUGAAAUGCUUUAU